rnacentral:rRNA from 1 species
CAGUCGAGGGGUAGAGUUCUUCGGAACUUGAGACCGGCGCACGGGUGCGUAACGCGUAUGCAAUCUACCUUUUACAGAGGGAUAGCCCAGAGAAAUUUGGAUUAAUACCUCAUAGUAUAUAGCCCUGGCAUCAGGAUUAUAUUAAAGUCACAACGGUAAAAGAUGAGCAUGCGUCCCAUUAGCUAGUUGGUAAGGUAACGGCUUACCAAGGCUACGAUGGGUAGGGGUCCUGAGAGGGAGAUCCCCCACACUGGUACUGAGACACGGACCAGACUCCUACGGGAGGCAGCAGUGAGGAAUAUUGGACAAUGGGCGCAAGCCUGAUCCAGCCAUGCCGCGUGCAGGAUGACGGUCCUAUGGAUUGUAAACUGCUUUUAUACGAGAAGAAACACUCCAACGUGUUGGAGCUUGACGGUAUCGUAAGAAUAAGGAUCGGCUAACUCCGUGCCAGCAGCCGCGGUAAUACGGAGGAUCCAAGCGUUAUCCGGAAUCAUUGGGUUUAAAGGGUCCGUAGGCGGUUUAAUAAGUCAGUGGUGAAAGCCCAUCGCUCAACGGUGGAACGGCCAUUGAUAC